rnacentral:rRNA from 1 species
GACGAACGCUGGCGGCGUGCCUAACACAUGCAAGUAGAACGCUGAAGGUGGAGCUUGCUUUUCUGGACGAGUUUCGAACGGGUGAGUAACGCGUAGGUAAUCUGGCUGGUAGCGGGUGAUAACUAUUGGAAACGAUAGUUAAUACCGCAUAAGAGUAGAUGUUGCAUGACAUUUGCUUAAAAGGUCCAAUUGCAUCACUAACAGAUGGACCUGCGUUGUAUUAGCUAGUUGGUGGGGUAACGGCUCACCAAGGCGACGAUACAUAGCCGGCCUGAGAGGGUGAUCGGCCGCACUCGGAGUGAGAGACGGCCCGGACUCAUGCGGGAUGCGGCACUAGGGAGUCUUCGGCAAUGGACGGAAGUGGGACCGAGCGAAGCCGGGUGGAUGACGGAAGUUAUCGGAUCAUAAAGCUCUGUUGUAAAAGAGGAACGAGUGUAGGAGUGGAAAGUUCACACAGUGACGGUAUCUUACCAGAAAGGGACGGCUAACUACGUG